GACGAACGCUGGCGGCGUGCUUAACACAUGCAAGUCGAACGGAAAGGCCCUGCUGUUGUGGGGUGCUCGAGUGGCGAACGGGUGAGUAACACGUGAGUAACCUGCCCUUGACUUUGGGAUAACUUCAGGAAACUGGGGCUAAUACCGGAUAGGAGCUCCUGCUGCAUGGUGGGGGUUGGAAAGUUUCGGCGGUUGGGGAUGGACUCGCGGCUUAUCAGCUUGUUGGUGGGGUAGUGGCUUACCAAGGCUUUGACGGGUAGCCGGCCUGAGAGGGUGAACGGCCACAUUGGGACUGAGAUACGGAGCAGACUCCUACGGGAGGCAGCAGUGGGGAAUAUUGCACAAUGGGCGGAAGCCUGAUGCAGCAGCGUCGCGUGCGGGAUGACGGCCUUCGGGUUGUAAACCGCUUUCGCCUGUGACGAAGCGUGAGUGACGGUAAUGGGUAAAGAAGCAACGGCUAACUACGUG
rnacentral:rRNA from 1 species